rnacentral:rRNA from 1 species
AUACGAAGGGGGCUAGCGUUGUUCGGAAUUACUGGGCGUAAAGCGCGCGUAAGCGGAUUGGUCAGUUAGGGGUGAAAUCCCAGGGCUUAACCCUGGAACUGCCUCUAAUACUGCCAGUCUUGAGUUCGGGAGAGGUGAGUGGAAUUCCUAGUGUAGAGGUGAAAUUCGUAGAUAUUAGGAAGAACACCAGUGGCGAAGGCGGCUCACUGGCCCGAUACUGACGCUGAGGCGCGAAAGCGUGGGGAGCAAACAGGAUUAGAAACCCUAGUAGUCC